CAGCCGCCGCGGGAAUACGAAGGGUGCAAGCGUUAAUCGGAAUUACUGGGCGUAAAGCGUGCGUAGGCGGUUUGUUAAGUCUGUUGUGAAAUCCCCGGGCUCAACCUGGGAAUGGCAAUGGAUACUGGCAAGCUAGAGUGUGUCAGAGGGUGGUGGAGUUCCCGGUGUAGCGGUGAAAUGCGUAGAGAUCGGGAGGAACAUCAGUGGCGAAGGCGGCCAUCUGGGACAACGCUGACGCUGAGGCACGAAAGCGUGGGGAGCAAACAGGAUUAGAUACCCGCGUAGUCCCUGUCUCUUAUAC
rnacentral:rRNA from 1 species